CCUACGGGGGGCAGCAGUGAGGAAUAUUGGUCAAUGGGCGCGAGCCUGAACCAGCCAAGUCGCGUGAGGGAAGACGGUCCUAUGGAUUGUAAACCUCUUUUGUCGGGGAGCAAAAGACGCCACGCGUGGCGUUCCGAGAGUACCCGAAGAAAAAGCAUCGGCUAACUCCGUGCCAGCAGCCGCGGUAAUACGGAGGAUGCGAGCGUUAUCCGGAUUUAUUGGGUUUACAGGGUGCGCAGGCGGAAGAUCAAGUCAGCGGGAAAAUUGAGAGGCUCAACCUCUUCGAGCCGUUGAAACUGGUUUUCUUGAGCGAGCGAGAAGUAUGCGGAAUGCGUGGUGUAGCGGUGAAAUGCAUAGAUAUCACGCAGAACUCCGAUUGCGAAGGCAGCAUACCGGCGCUCAACUGACGCUCAUGCACGAAAGUGUGGGUAUCGAACAGGAUUAGAUACCCCAGUAGUC
rnacentral:rRNA from 1 species